rnacentral:rRNA from 1 species
AAGGCAAGCGGAUCUCUUAAAGCNGUUCUCAGUUCGGACUGCAGUCUGCAACUCGACUGCACGAAGCUGGAAUCGCUAGUAAUCGCGGAUCAGCACGCCGCGGUGAAUACGUUCCCGGGCCUUGUACACACCGCCCGUCACACCAUGGAAGUCUGCAAUGCCCGAAGCCGGUGGCCUAACCACUUAUGUGGAAGGAGCCGUCUAAGGCAGGGCAGAUGACUGGGGUGAAGUCGUAACAAGGUAGC